rnacentral:lncRNA from 1 species
AAAAGACCAGUUGGUUGGGUUCUAGGCUGGGCUGUGUGAAGCAGGAAGCCCAGGGCUGGGAGUGAGGGGCUCUGGCAGAGGAAAGCGGCUCCCCACCCCAUACCAGGAUCUGGAAUUGAGCAGGCUGCUUCACCAGGAGCUGAGAGCAGAGAACCCUGCCCAGAACCCAGGCUGCACCAAGGCCCACUCUUAACCCCCCAGCAUGGCAUGCCAGCUGGCCACACCCUAUGGCUGGAUUUGACGGCUUCCAGCACAGCAGCACCUCCCCAGCGGCUCCCCAUGAUGCUCUCAUCCAAUGAGAUGACGGGACACACCGACUGAUGGCCAGUGGCCAUAAAGGAGAAAGCUGACUGGCAAGGGGUAGAGCACAUAGUUGUCCUUCCCAGCCAACUGGAUUGUUCCUUUGACUCUCGCUCUCCCAAGCCUGCGUGCAUGUGAUCAGCGGCCGCAGCUCUCCAUCCACCAGGCCGUCUCAUUCCCGUUUUCCGGGGGGGGGGCGU